AUUCUUAACAUUAUGUCUGAACGCAUCUGAGUCCAUGAUUGUAUCUGAAAAAAUUUAUGUAUUCCAGAAAAUACAAGGCAAAUGGUAAUUAAAUUAUGAGAAUGGAUUAUCGAGAUGUGGAGGAAUGCGUGGAGUGAUAAGAAUGUCCUGGAGCGACGAAUUUCGCGAGAAAGAGGACGCUCAUGCCCCUGAACAUUUUCACGAUUAUAAUGGCAGAUGCAGGCUACGAAGGCCCUCCAUUUAACGUGGAGUGGUCUGACCAGUUAAUCGGUUAUUCACCGGUACACCGCGGCAUGGAAGACAAACUCGAAAGAUCGUGCCACGGCAUCUAUUCAAGUGAUCGCACAGGAGCCGGCCACGAGGACGAGCCAAGGGUGUACAGAGGGGAAGAGAAUUUAAUGAGAUAGCGAAGAGAGAAAAAUUCUGGGCGAAGGAGGAGGGUGAGUGACAGGGUCGGAGGUCAGUAGCCGAGCAAGGAUGUACGAUGCUCCUUGUCUUCUUCCUUCCUUCCUUUCGCUCAUUCUUUUUCCCUUUUCCUGUUUCAGAGUCGUCGACAUUCCUUGCCACGUUUCUCGAUCCUUUCAGGAGACGCUCUUCAGCCACCUCGCGAGAGGAACUUCGAGUGGCCACUCGAGAACAAAAGGACCAAGGGUGAGAAAAGCUCGGGCUCGACUCGUCUCUUUGCAGAAGAGCGAGUCGUUACGUGCUUUCGAAAUUCUGCACGCGAUUUCGUCGACGAGAUUUCGAAAUCCUUGAAAAGCUUGCCACGAUAACGAAAAACCAGAAAACUCAAGGAGACUGAAGUUUAACAAGAACAAGAUGAAGUUUAAUAAGGACAAGAUGAAGUUUAACAAGGACAACAUGAAGUUUAACAAAAAGGACAACAUGAAGUUUAACAAGAAGGACAACAUGAAGUUUAACAAGAAGUACAACAUGAAGUUUAACAAGAAGUACAAAAUGAAGUUUAACAAGAAGGACAACAUGAAGUUUAACAAAAAGGACAACAUGAAGUUUAACAAGGAAGACAACAUGAAGUUUAACAAGAAGUACAACAUGAAGUUUAACAAGAAGUACAACAUGAAGUUUAACAAGAAGUACAACAUGAAGUUUAACAAGAAGGACAACAUGAAGCUUAACAAAAAGGACAACAUGAAGUUUAACAAGGAAGACAACAUGAAGUUUAACAAGAAGUACAACAUGAAGUUUAACAAGAAGUACAACAUGAAGUUUAACAAGAAGUACAACAUGAAGUUUAACAAGAAGUACAAAAUGAAGUUUAACAAGAAGGACAACAUGAAGUUUUAGUACCAAUAUAAAAUAACAGCAUUGCAAAUAGAAAGCAAUGAUUCAGUCGUAUGACACAAUUAGAUGAGAGUAACACAAAAUGGCACUCACAGGAUUUAAAGCAGAAUAAGAUCGCCACAAAAGCGAAAGAAGAAUCGAUCCUAAUUGAAUUCAUAUCCAGGCACGCAGGCAACGAGGGGUCGGUUAAAAUAUUUUCGCGUCGAGGGUCCGCGAUUCCCGCGAAAAGCACGCGUGGGUGAGAUUCCCGGCGGGAGAUAGAGCCCGGUGUACAAAGAGGGUCUGCAGAAGUUUCGAGGUAGCUGGAAGAGCGAAUGGAACGCGAGGAUCCGCGGAAUGCCGACCGUCCGGCUGGCAGUAUCCUCGUCCUAUCUUCUCGCAUUAUCCUGCCGUAUCUCAGCCCGACAGCCGAACUCCUUCGUCCUUUACCGACCGGCUUCUUUCACCCAUACCCUGAAGGGCCGUCUCCCGGCAGUUUGAAGCCGGAGAAAAUUAUUGCAUUCUAAAACGAGGGACAAUGAAAUAGUUUCGUACCCUCGAUCCCUUCAAGGUAUAAUGAAUUGCUCGAUAUCGUAAUGAUAGGAAGAGUUUAAGCACUGAGAUUAUGAAGGGGCUUUAGCCUUGAAGUUAUAGCUUUUAUAAUUUUAAUCUUAAACUCAAAGUUUCAAGGUUUUGAAAUUCUCUAACAGAUAUAUUUUUGUAGGUUUGACAAGGAUUAUGAUGGUAGGAGGAUGCUAGUUGGCCUUGAAGAAUUUGCAGAUUUGAAGAUUUGUAUAUUGUUAUAACUAACCUAUAAGUUAGUCUCUAAGUCUCUAGUCUUAAGUUGAAAGUCUCUAACAAAUAUUUUUGUAGGUUUAAAUGAGCCAAUGGAAUUUGAAAGAAGAUUGACCCGUCGCGGAACCAUAAGCUGUUCCAACCACUCGAACUGGUUGAAAUUACUUUCCGUUACACGACACGGAAAUAUGAUGGAAGCAAUGCGAGCAAGAUGACACGGUGCGGUACGAUCAGGACAGAAUUUUCGCAAAUGCACAUCUCAGAAGGGCAUCAUAUUACUUUGGAUACAUCGAUCAUGUCUCGUUCGCAUCUCCAUCGAUGUCCUAAAUACAAGAAUGUGCAAAGGGAAUUUAAGGUUCGAAUAACCAGAGUAAUAAAUGAAUGUAAUUAUGUAAAAUUGGAAGCAAAGAUCAAGAAAGAAAAGAUACACGGAGGAAGAUACAAAAGUCUAAUUACCAAACGAAACAAGAAGGACAUGACAAACAAACAAAAACGAAGAAGACAAAGUAACGAAAUGAUAGUAGAAAGGAGAAGGAGAAAAGAGAGGGGUGAGCGAGUUCCAAAAACCUAAGAAGAGCAUCAUCGAUCGCAGCUGUCGCGUUCGCUCCGCACCUGCUAUUGUCCGCUCGCUUUCCAGUCCGACGACAAGUGAGAGAAAAGGAGAAAGAGAAGAGAACGACCCCUUUCCUUUCCGUAUAUGUAGCACGAAAACAUCGUGCAACGCGCGAGGUGCCGUGGCGCACGUUGCCCGCGUAAACUUCGGUCCACGUGUCGUUUCGUUUCGUUGCGUGAGGCCACCUACUCGUGUGGCUCGCUUUCGUCGAGCCUUCUCGCCUCUCUCCUUUUUCCUUUUUUGCUCCUUGUCACGCAUCUCCUUUUGCGUUAUGCAACGAUACACGCGCGACAAAUUGUUCUCCAAAAUUCGACUGUUAACAACAUUCCAAUUGCAAAGAAGAGAAGUUCUUUUUGGCAGUCAUUUGCAUCGAGCUUGGAGUUAACACAAGUGCCGCUUUGAGACUUUUUAUAAAAGGGAGUAGUAAGCCCGGAUCAAUAGAAUGAUCAGUUUGUGGCAAAAAGUAACCACCUAAGCCAAGAUAAGCCCGUCCCAGAAGACACGUCCUCGAACGACAUGAAAACCGCGAACGAAUGAGUCACUGGACUUACUUCGAUGGGGGUAGAUAUCUCGAAGGGUAAAUCGCGUACCCUUAGGAAACAACGCCAACUGUUCCCUGAAGCACUUGCGCACAUGUAACCGCGAGGGAAUUUCGAUGGACCCACGGACCCUGGGGUACUUUCUUUUUUGCACCGAGCGAAACCCCAUGAGAACCCGACCAAGUGGUGCGAUACAGACAAAACUGGGGUUCGGAUCUAUGAAAGAGUCAGAGGAAUUAACGGGGUCGAUUCGAGGGGAAACGCGUCACGAAAAGUCAUUUUCAUCGGUGUGGACCAUUUCGAAUUUGGUCCCCGUUCUCUUUUAAUCCUCUUAACUGUAUCGCGAACUGUUGUGGAGUCGGUCGUUUCUCAGCGACUUAAGCUUAAGUUUCGAGUGAGAAUUUCACAGAUGGAGGAUUUAAGGACGCACGAACGUACAUGCAAGUUCUCUUCCGUUAUGCGCAAAUGAUUUCCAGAAUCAAUAGCACGCGAUUUUACAAAUAGUUUACGUGAAUUUCACAGAUGAAGAGAUUCAGGUCUCGUUUCGCGUUUUCGAGGACAACUGUAUACACUUUAAUCUGUGCUGCAAUCUGCUCAAUAUUCCUGCCUUGAUUAUAUGCACCUGAUUUUCUGUAGCGUGCAAUAUAAACAGGAUAAAAGCUGUCCCAGUUAAUUAUCCGAGUUAAUCGCAUCAGUCGAUUGUAUAAAUUAAAUAUUACACGAGCUUAACGUUCGAAGUUCGGUGUGCAAGGGUGUUUGCAUAUUCAUCGCUUUACAUUUUUUUCCCUCUUGCAAUAAACCUCGACAUCAUUUAGUGUUAUCGAUAAACUAGUAUGUAAUCGCGUGAACAA
rnacentral:misc_RNA from 1 species